rnacentral:rRNA from 1 species
UACGUAGGGUGCGAGCGUUGUCCGGAAUUAUUGGGCGUAAAGGGCGCGUAGGCGGUUUGUUGCGUCGGCUGUGAAAUCCCGAGGCUCAACCUCGGGUCUGCAGUCGAUACGAGCAAACUAGAGUGUUGCAGGGGAGACUGGAAUUCCUGGUGUAGCGGUGAAAUGCGCAGAUAUCAGGAGGAACACCGGUGGCGAAGGCGGGUCUCUGGGCAACAACUGACGCUGAGGAGCGAAAGCGUGGGGAGCGAACAGG